rnacentral:lncRNA from 1 species
ACACACACACACACACACACACACACACACACACACACACACACACACGUGUGCUAGGUAUCCCUUGGCGAAGCUUGGCAUACUGCUGCCUCUCCCCAGGUAGCAGAGCUCUCCUUGAUGCUGCAUCCACUCUGACAUCGCCACCAAGUCACUGCCUCUGCCACACUCUCGGUCUUUCUCUUUGUGGCCAACCUUGCUUCCUCUCCUUGUCCUUUUCUAUCACUGAAGGAUGGUAAAAUACUGAUACAGUCUUACUCAGUUGCCUCCACUCUGCCCUCUGUGCUACUCAAAGGGAAGAAGAUGGGUGUGACAACUCCCUCCUGCCCCUUCCUACCCAAUUCACCAGCUGUGGGGUUGUCCCAAUGGAAACCAGUCACAGAGGGACAUGUGUGCUGUGUGGUUUCAGAAAGACUGAGAGAAGAAAAUGCACUGUAGACAGUUGGGAGGAUGGUCAUGGGAAGGCCCAGUCCUUCUCCCUGGAUAGACCAUGGGGGCUGGAGUCUUGGGUAUUACCACAGAACUGCCUCCCCAAGCUGCAUAUCUACUCCUAAGCCUCCAUGUCCUUUCUUGCAGAAUCUAUUCUUUUGAAAUCACUCCCCACCGCCUGCCUGGGAGCCCUGUUCCCACAUCUGUCUCCUUUUAUUUUGUUUUGUACCCCACUAAGUUUAGUCAGGGCCAUCUGUGAAACCACAGGCUUGAAACUAUUUGUUGGGACCUGGAAAGCUCAUCAGUGAGUUCACAAUGAGUACUGAGUAUCUGACCUAUCCUCAGGACCCAUCAGUAGCCCAUUGUUCAUCAUAAAGGAGUAGAGCUGUUUGGGACACACACCCAUCUAUGAUUGAUUGACUAACAAGCCUCGUCUUGUACUGACCCACUGUACGCAACCACUGAGCCAUGAGAUCAUUGUCUGUGUCAUGGUCAGAGGACAGCAUUUCAUAGCUCUAUAGUUCUUCUACCCAACUUGCAGUUCCUGGAGUCUUACCACCUCCUCUUCUGAAUUGUUCUCUGAUGCUUAGAGAGGGCAGGUAGCUUGAACAUCUUCCUUAGGGCUGAGUACAUGGCCGUCACUUAUUCUCAAUGUCCUGAGCAGCCCCGAGUCUCUUUAUCCAUCACCUUUCAAAGUACUUUUCCCAAUUAAAACUGCGUAGCAUUUACCUAUGAGUAUAAACACAUUUAGAAGGUAGUCUGAUUCUGCAUCAACCUAAUUAAAUAAUACUAGUAAGUUCUCCCUAC